AUGAACUGCUGGAUUUGUUUUGUUUAUUUAGGAUCCUCAUUAGCUCCUGCAUUGCAGGUGCUAUUCUUCCUGAGGUCCUUACAAGUCACUUGAAAAUGUGGCAAUGCAAUAAUAAAUACACAUAACAUCAUAGACAAUAAAAAAUAAAAAUUGUAAGAC